rnacentral:rRNA from 1 species
UACGGGGGGAGCAAGCGUUGUUCGGAAUUACUGGGCGUAAAGGGCGCGUAGGCGGCAAUUCAAGUCAGCUGUGAAAUCUCCGGGCUUAACUCGGAACGGUCAGCUGAUACUGCUUUGCUAGAGUGCAGAAGGGGCAAUCGGAAUUCUUGGUGUAGCGGUGAAAUGCGUAGAUAUCAAGAGGAACACCUGAGGUGAAGACGGGUUGCUGGGCUGACACUGACGCUGAGGCGCGAAAGCUAGGGUAGCAAACGGG